rnacentral:rRNA from 1 species
UACAUGGGGUGCAAACGUUGCUCGGAAUUACUGGGCGUAAAGCGUGCGCAGGCGGUUUUGUAAGUCAGAUGUGAAAUCCCCGGGCUUAACCUGGGAACUGCGUUUGAAACUACAAGGCUAGAGUGUGGCAGAGGGGGGUGGAAUUCCACGUGUAGCAGUGAAAUGCGUAGAGAUGUGGAGGAACACCGAUGGCGAAGGCAGCCCCCUGGGUUAACACUGACGCUCAGGCACGAAAGCGUGGGGAGCAAACAGG